GACGAACGCUGGCGGCGUGCUUAACACAUGCAAGUCGAGCGGAAAGGCCCUUCGGGGUACUCUAGCGGCUAACGGGUGGGUAAGACGUGAGUAACUUGCCCCCGACCUUGGGAUAACCCUCGGACACGGGGGCUCAUACCGGAUACGACACAGAUUCACUUGGGGUCUGUGUGGAAAGUUGUACGGUUUGGGUUGGGCCCGUGGUCGAUCGGCCUGUUGGGGGGGUGAUGGUCUACCAAGGCGACGCUGGGUAGCCGGCCUGGGAGGGCGCCCAGCCACACUGCGCCUGAGGCACGGCCCAGGCUGCUACGGUACGCAGCAGGGGGGAAUAUUGCACAAUGAGCGCACGCCAGAUGUAGCGACCCCGCGUGCGGGAUAACGUCCUUCGGGUUGUAAACCUCUUUCCGCAGGGACGAAGCGUAAGUGACGGUACCUGCAGAAGAAGCGCCGGCCAACUACGUG
rnacentral:rRNA from 1 species